GGGGAUUGUUUCAUCAUUUUUAAUCUAUUAAUUCUCGGCUGAAAGACGGCGGAGGUGGCUCAGGUGAGGCUAGUUUUCUCGGCGGCGCAUCCGCCGGUGAACUUUGAAGGAAAAAAUGAAAAAAAAAAACAGAGCAGAGUUAUUUGGCGCUCUUGCUCUUUCCUAAUUCCCAAACGAGACGAAAGCAGAUGGAGAAGAAGACCGCAGGCAUCCAGGAGAUUCAAGGCUUCUCAUACAAUUUCAUUCUCAGGUCUUUCCACUACUCAUGGACUUUCCAAGUCUUGUGCUUUUUGUUGGUAUAGCUUCUGAAGAGGAUGAUGCACCACUCAUCUGACCUUUUAUACUAUAGGAUUGCACUCUACUUAAAAGAAAAUGGGUUUUUGUUUCUUACCCAUUCCACUAGACUUGUUCCUUCAAAUGUCUUGUCUGUAGUUCCACGGCCGGUGAUGAGCUCCAAUAGAACCACACCAAAGGAAUAAACAUCUGUCUUGGUUGAUGCUUUCCCACUGUCUACAUAUUCCGGAGCUGAGUAUCCAAAAGUCCCAUCAACCCUGUGCUCUGAGGAUUGGUCUGAUUCAAAUGGUGGUCUUGCAAGCCCAAAAUCUCCCAGCUGAUAUAUUCAACAUUUAAAAUGGAACCUAGAUAAUUUAAACCUCUAGAUGCACCCAGUGCUAUUUUCACCCUCAGCAUCCAAGUCAAAGGUGUUGAUCUGUUUUCUGCAUCAAAAUCCAUUUCAGUGUUAGCAUUAAGCUUUCUCUAAGUCCUGGCUAUGCUUUUUGGCUCUAAGGAAAAGGAAAAUGAAGCUUGAUAUGCUUACUUGAUGUGGAUGUAGAACAUGAAGUGGAUUUUGAAUAAUUACUCCAUGUAGGUCCGCUGCUGUUGUCUCCUGGCUCUUCAUGUAAGGAAUUAAAUACGGAGGUCUUACACAUCUUCCGAGCUCGCAUGAAAGAUAACGUACUAGGGGUAUUAACCUGAUGAAGAACUCCAAGGAGAGUGAGCUCAUCUCCAGGCUUAAGUGAUAAGCCAUCCAGAGCCCAUUUGACAGCACUUGAACUAACUUCCCGUGAUGCAUCCUGGAUUACCACCACCCUCUGAGCUGCUGUGGACAUGAUGGGUCUGUUUGAAGCUUUUGCCACUGGAAUUUAUGUCAGAUUGAAGAGAAAGAUGAAGCCAAGGCAAGACAAUGGACUUGGGCUAUUCUGAUUAAAACAAUGCUCUCUUGGAAGAUUUCUGCAAUCACUAAACUGAUCUGAUACCUGAUGGUGUACCCUCAAGGCUGAGAAAAAUCCUGGCUGCAUAUCCGCAAUCGGACGGUUAUGAGGACUGCUCAUGGCAACAUUUGUGGCAAUUUUCUCAUGAAAUCAUUACCCUGAUGAUUGGGCUGAGCUAUCUCAAAGAUAUGUUCAGGAAGCAAAUAUUUGGGCUGUUACCUCUUGAAGAAAAAACAGAUGAGUUGGAGGCCUGGCCUUUCAUGUUGGGGCAUAUUCCUCUUGUAGAUUCCUUCCAUUAAUGGUAACAAGAUAACUUACAUACGAUACUCAUGAUAGUCUAUAAAUAAAUAUUUCAUAAUUUUACAGAUAUUUAAUUGAUAUGUUAUUGUCUAAAAAAGAUAUAUUUCAGAAAAUAAAGCAUUUUUCUAUUCUGAA